rfam:Daphnia pulex DAPPTscaffold_73_Cont3733, whole genome shotgun sequence.
GCAGAUAUGGCCGAGUGGUUAAGGCGUCUGACUCGAAAUCAGUUUCCAUCUUGGAGCGUAGGUUCGAAUCCUACUAUAUGCG